rnacentral:rRNA from 1 species
GAUGAACGCUGACAGAAUGCUUAACACAUGCAAGUCUACUUGAUUUACCUUCGGGUAAUGAAGGUGGCGGACGGGUGAGUAACGCGUAAACAAUCUGCCCUUCAGUCUGGGAUAUCAGUUGGAAACGACUGUUAAUACCGGAUAUUAUGAGAUUCUCGCAUGGGAAACUCAUGAAAGCUAUAUGCGCUGGAGGAGGAGUUUGCGUUCCAUUAGCUAGUUGGUGAGGUAACGGCUCACCAAGGCGACGAUGGAUAGCCGGCCUGAGAGGGUGAACGGCCACAAGGGGACUGAGACACGGCCCGUACUCCUACGGGAGGCAGCAGUGGGGAAUAUUGGACAAUGGGCCACGAGCCUGAUCCAGCAAUUCUGUGUGCACGAUGAAGGUCUUCGGAUUGUAAAGUGCUUUCAGUUGGGAAGAAGAAAGUGACGGUACCAACAGAAGAAGCGACGGCUAAAUAUGUGCCAGCCGCCGCCGUAACAC